CUGUGCGAUGAUGGCAUACCAUCUUUCGGGUCUGAACGUGAUGAUACCCAAUUUCUACUGAGCACGU
rnacentral:snoRNA from 1 species